rnacentral:rRNA from 1 species
UACAGAGGUCCCAAGCGUUGUUCGGAUUCAUUGGGCGUAAAGGGUGCGUAGGUGGCGCUGUAAGUCGGGUGUGAAAUUUCGGAGCUUAACUCCGAAACUGCAUUCGAUACUGCGGUGCUUGAGGACUGGAGAGGAGACUGGAAUUCAUGGUGUAGCAGUGAAAUGCGUAGAUAUCGUAAGGAAGACCAGUGGCGAAGGCGGGUCUCUGGACAGUUCCUGACGCUGAGGCACGAAGGUCAGGGGAGCAAACGGG